AAAAAAAAAAAAAAAAAAAGUAGUAUUGGACCAAUCAAGACUAUAUGGCUGCUUGGACUAAGGGAAAUUAGUGUUUGUAAACAUGUGGAGGACGAUUUGAUGCUGUGGAUUGAUGCCUCUAUUAUUAGGUAACUGAUUGGCUUCUACGGGCCACAAGAACUUGCCAUCGACUGAAACAAAAAGACUUGCUAUGACCCUUGUAUUCAUUUUGGCGAUAUCCUUUGCUGAAGUUGGUUUAUUUUCGACAGAUUAAUCGGUAGCUUAGUUUUGAUACAAUUUGUACUCCAUACAUUUUGGUCUAUGUCAAUUUUUUGUUAAGUCUAAGGUGGUGAGAAAGGCAAUAGGCUUUUAAUGCUGGUUUUAGUUUUUUGCUUUAGAGCCCCUGAAAUUUGUGGUUGAGAUAGCAUGUGAUUUGGGCUAUUGAGUUUUUGCAUGGCAGGAUUAUGCCUCAAGGCUGCUUUACAUGAGGAUCCGUAUACCUCUUGAAUGGCAUGUAUGUUUAUGUCCUUUGGUAGUCUUUUGCAUAUGCCAUCACUCAUAAAGGCCAAGUAAAAAUUCAAAUAAUGUGCAUCCACUUGCUGUUAUUAUUAUCUAGAUAGAUUAUCGUCUACAAUGUUAAUUGUGUCAGGUGCUUGAGGAAAUUAGGCCAUACCUUGUUGGGGCGGCUGGAGGAUCUCUUGAGCUAGUGGCAAUCGAAGAGCCAAUAGUGAAAAUCCGAAUCACAGGUCCAGCAGCUGGCGUCAUGACUGUUCGAGUAGCUGUCACACAAAAACUACGAGAGAAGAUUCCAGCCAUUGCUGCAGUUCAACUUCUAUCGUAACAACUUUAUCACCGCACACAGUAACAUCGUCAAACAAAGAGGGUGAAAGCGAAUAAACUCAAAACCUGUAUAAAUAUUACCAUACACUGUACAGUUGAGUUUAGCUGAAUGCAAUUGUUGAAUGUCAUUUUGAAAAUCCAGUUGGAGGAAAUUUUUAAAGGCAGCCAUCUUGUAUUGGCUCUUUGAUGUACACAGUUGCGCUUGAAAUUUAGUGUAGCAACAUUUUUCAUUGCCAUUCAUGCUUGUGAGCAAUUUCCUUUUAGACUUACUAGUCCUUGGUAAAGUUGAAACAGCAUCUCAACAGUGCUUUGGUUCUUUUCAUCAGA
rnacentral:misc_RNA from 1 species